rnacentral:rRNA from 1 species
GUAGUCAUAUGCUUGUCUCAAAGAUUAAGCCAUGCAGUCUAGUAUAAGCAUUAUACCGUGAAUGCGAAUGGCUCAUUAAAUCAGUUAUCGUUUAUUUGAUAGUACCUUACUACUUGGAUAACCGUGGUAAUUCUAGAGCUAAUACAUGCUGAAAACCCCAACUUCGGGAGGGGUGUAUUUAUUAGAUAAAAAACCAACGCCCUUCGGGGCUUCUUGGUGAUUCAUGAUAACUUUACGGAUCGCAUGGCCUUGCGCCGGCGACGGUUCAUUCAAAUUUCUGCCCUAUCAACUUUCGAUGGUAAGGUAUUGGCUUCCAUGGUUCAACGGGUAACGGGGAAUGGGGCGGGGGCGGCGGGCCGGGCGCGGGGCGCGGCGGGCG